rnacentral:lncRNA from 1 species
GGACAGUGUGUAUGCUUUUGGCUGCUGUUCGCACUGCUGAUCACUUGUUCGCAAGGCACAGAGAUGAACUUCCAGCUACUGAUUCUGCUGCUGGUGGCCGUGUUUGGUGCGGUCUCGGCAGGCGGAUCCCACUACGGCAGCAGAGGCGGUGGUUACCCAUACCCCAGCCCAGGACGCUACGGCACUUAUGGCGGAAGCAACUACGGCCAAUAUCGCGGAAGGGACUACGGCUAUUAUCAGAGACGGUACUAAGGCUAUGGCGGCGGCCUCGGCGGCUAAGGUCACAAUUAGGGCCACCAUCACUGCUGACAACACAACGUAUGACUUGGGAGAGCCGUCAGCGGGAGAGCUAUCCCGUUUGUCUCUCCGCGGUGUGACCAGACCCUGUCCUGCACAGUGACCGCUGUCGCAACUGGCGACUGUCUGUCUAACUCUGAUCGUCACCUGGAACUGCAUCUCUGCUGCAAAAAUAAAUCUGCACAUUUA